UUUAGAUAUAAAAUAUAUAAACUUGAGUAGUAUUAGGUAUGGUCUUGAAACUUAAAGAAUUUGGCGGUAUUUUAGUCUUUUUAGAGGAAUCUGUUUUAUAAUCGAUAAUCCACGUUGGACCUUACUUAAUUUUAUUUAAUAUGUAUACCGCCGUUAAUUUUAAUCUUAUUAGAGUUAUUAAAUUUUUUUAAUAUUUGUUAUAUAAUGUUUCAGGUCAAGGUGCAGUUUAUAAUUAAGUUUAAAUGGAUUACAAUUUUUGUAAAAAUAAUGGAUUAUUAAGUGUAAUUAUUAAUAUGAAGGUGGAUUUAAUAGUAAUUUUAUGAAGAUUAUUAUUAUGAUUAUAGCUCUAGAAUAUGU
rnacentral:rRNA from 1 species